rnacentral:rRNA from 1 species
GAUGAACGCUGGCGGCGUGCCUAAUACAUGCAAGUCGAGCGAACGGACGAGAAGCUUGCUUCUCUGAUGUUAGCGGCGGACGGGUGAGUAACACGUGGAUACCCUACCUAUAAGACUGGGAUACCUUAGGGAACCCGUAGCUAGUACAGGAUAUUAUUUUGAAAGGCAUGGUUCAACAGUGAAAGCGGGUUUUGCUGUCCCUAAUAGAUGGUUCCGCGUUGCAUUAGCUAGUUGGUACGGUAACGGCUUACCAAGGCAACGAUGCAUAGCCGACCUUAGAGGGUGAUCGGCCACACUGGAACUGAGACACGGUCCAGACUCCUACGGGAGGCAGCAGUGGGGAAUCUUCCGCAAUGGGCGAAAGCCUGACGGAGCAACGCCGCGUGAGUGAUGAAGGUCUUCGGAUCGUAAAACUCUGUUAUUAGGGAAGAACAGAUGUGUAAGUAACUGUGCACAUCUUGACGGUACCUAAUCAGAAAGCCACGGCUAACUACGUG